rnacentral:tRNA from 1 species
AGUAGUGUGGCAUAGUGGUUAAGUGUUGGACUAUGACUCUGGAGACCAAGGUUCGAUUCCUAGCUCGACCA